rnacentral:rRNA from 1 species
AUACGUAGGUGACAAGCGUUAUCCGGAUUUACUGGGCGUAAAGGGCGUGUAGGCGGUCUUGCAAGUCAGAAGUGAAAUUCCUGAGCUCAACUCGGGCGCUGCUUCUGAAACUGCAGGACUUGAGUGCUGGAGGGGGUAGCGGAAUUCCUAGUGGAGCGGUAAAAUGCGCAGAUAUUAGGAAGAACACCGGUGGCGAAGGCGGAUAUCUGCCCGGUCACUGACGUUGAGGCGCGAAAGCGGGGGGAGAAAACAGCAUGUGACACCUUGGUGGCCCACGCCGUAAACGAUGAAUACUAGAUGUAGGGGGUCUCGACUGCCUCUGUGCCGCAGUUAACACAAUAAGUAUUCCGCCUGGGGAGUACGGCCGCAAGGUUGAAACUCAAAGGAAUUGACGGGG